AGCGUCCUACGGGGCGCAGCAGUGGGGAAUAUUGCGCAAUGGGCGAAAGCCUGACGCAGCGACGCCGCGUGUGGGAAGACGGUCUUCUGGAUUGUAAACCACUGUCCCCAGGGACGAAAAUGACGGUACCUGGGGAGGAAGCUCCGGCUAACUACGUGCCAGCAGCCGCGGUAAUACGUAGGGAGCAAGCGUUGUCCGGAAUUACUGGGUGUAAAGGGAGCGUAGGCGGGGAUGCAAGUUGGGUGUCAAAACUACCGGCUCAACCGAUAGUCGCACUCAAAACUGCAGCUCUUGAGUGAAGUAGA
rnacentral:rRNA from 1 species